rnacentral:rRNA from 1 species
UCGUACUCGGGGAUAGCCUUUCGAAAGAAAGAUUAAUACCCGAUAGCAUAAUGAUUCCGCAUGGUUUCAUUAUUAAAGGAUUCCGGUAAAGGAUGGGGAUGCGUUCCAUUAGGUUGUUGGUGGGGUAACGGCCCACCAAGCCUUCGAUGGAUAGGGGUUCUGAGAGGAAGGUCCCCCACAUUGGAACUGAGACACGGUCCAAACUCCUACGGGAGGCAGCAUG